rnacentral:rRNA from 1 species
UACAGAGGGUGCGAGCGUUAAUCGGAAUUACUGGGCGUAAAGCGCGCGUAGGCGGCUUGCAAGUCGGGUGUGAAAGUCCCCAGGCUUAACCUGGGAACUGCAUUCGAGACUGCAUUGCUAGAGUAUGGGAGAGGGAAGUGGAAUUUCCGGUGUAGCGGUGAAAUGCGUAGAUAUCGGAAGGAACAUCAGUGGCGAAAGCGACUUCCUGGACCAAUACUGACGCUGAGGCGCGAAGGCGUGGGGAGCGAACGGG